ensembl:lncRNA
CUCCUGUCUAACGACGGGCCAUUCUGGGAUGUUAGAUGGUUCCUCAUCCUGAUGUUAGAUGGUUCCUCACCCUGACUGUAGUCUACAGGAGAAACUGGGAUGUUAGAUGGUUCCUCAUCCUGACCGUAGUCUACAGGCCAGGAGAAACUGGGAUGUUAGAUGAUUCCUCAUCCUGACCGUAGUCUACAGGCCAGGAGAAACUGGGAUGUUAGAUGGUUCCUCAUCCUGACCGUAGUCUACAGGCCAGGAGAAACUGGGAUGUUAGAUGGUUCCUCACCCUGACCGUAGUCUACAGGCCAGGAGAAACUGGGAUGUUAGAUGGUUCCUCAUCCUGACCGUAGUCUACAGGCCAGGAGAAACUGGGAUGUUAGAUGGUUCCUCAUCCUGACUGUAGUCUACAGGCCAGGAGAAACUGGGAUGCUAGAUGGUUCCUCAUCCUGACUGUAGUCUACAGGAGAAACUGGGCUAAUAAAUUAGAGUUGAUUCAACUGUAUUUAAUUAUUUAGUUUGACUUCAAGGUGAUUUGCCCUUUUUAAAUGGCAGCGGCCAGCUAUAGGAGGAGUCUUGGUGGUUCCAAUCUUCUUCCAUUUCAGAAUGAUGGAGGCCACUGGGUUCUUGGGGACCUUCAAUGCUGCAGAAAUGUUUUGGUACCCUUCCCCAGAUCUGUGCCUCGACACAAUCCUGUCUCGGAGCUCUACAGACAAUUCCUUCGACCUCAUGGCUUGGUUUUUGCUCUAACGUGCGCUGUCAACUGUGGGACCUUAUAUAGACAGGUGUGUGCCUUUACAAAUCAAGUCCAACCAAUUGAAUUUACCACAUGUGGACUCCAAUCAAGUUGUAGAAACAUCUCAAGGAUGAUUCAUGGAAACAGGAUGCACCUGAGAUCAAUUUUGAGUCUCGUAGCAAAAGGGUCUGAAUACUUAUUGUACCAGUCAACAGUUUGGACUCAUUUCAGGGUUUCAGAGUUCUUGGCAUUUUCCAGAUUGACUGACCUUUAUGUCUUAAAGUAAUGAUGGACGGUCGUUUCUCAUUGCUUAUUUGAGCUGUUCUUGCCAUAAUAUGGACUUGGUAUUUUACCAAAUAGGGCUGUCUUCUGUAUAUACCCCCCCCCCAACCUUGUCACAACACAACUGAUUGGCUCAAACAAAUUAAGAGACAGGAUUGAUUUUAACAAGGCACACCUGUUAAUUGAGGUGACUAGCAUUCCAGGUGACAACCUCAUGAAGCUGGUUGAGAGAAUGCCAAGAGUGUGCAAAGCUGUCGAAGCAAAGGGUGGCUACUUUGAAGAAUUUUAAAUAUAUAUGUUUUGCUUACUGCAUGAUUCCAUGUGUGUUAUUUCAUAGUUUUGAUGUCUUCACUAUUAUUCUACAAUGUAGAAAAGAGUAAAAAUAAAACCCUUGGAAGAGUCCCUUUUGACUGGUGCUGUAUAUAAAUAAGGUAUUUGUAAAAACAUUUCUCAAAACCUGUUUCUCUUUGUCAUUAUUGGG